GAUCCAAUAGGAGUUUGUAAGAUUAUUUAUCAUCUCCAUUGUUUAACUUUCUCUAUAAAAACAAUGUUGCUAUUGAUGGGUAAAUUUAUACAAUUAAGAGUAAGAAGCCUAUAGACUAGCAUUGCUAAAUUGAACAUUCAAAAUUUGCUUUGAAGUAAGAGUCGAGGAUGGUAUAAUUAUUCUUUAGUUGUAUUCCUCUUUUUCUUAUAGAUCUUUGAAGAACCAAAUUAGGUUAUUUUCUUCUUCUUAAUGAGUUGUUUGAUCAAAGCUUAUUUUCUUCUUUAUUUUUGCAGCACUUUUGGGUUGCCAUUUCAAUUGUCUUCUUUGUUGCUGCUACAUUAUUUACUCUACUGAAACUUUGUGAUUUAAUCUUCCCCAGGUUGUAAAGUAUAUUUUGGUCUUAGAUAGCCAGCCAAGCUAAGCUAAGUAGAUGGAAGCAAUUGUUGAAGUUGAAGAUUGUGAAAGCGUUUAAGAUUUCUUAUUUAAGUCUUGUAUUAGGAUCUAGUUUCAUGCAUUAUUAUAGAAUGUAUAUACAAACGCAAUAUUAAGAUUUCAUUUUCUAUAUACAAAUGUAAAAGAAAAAUAUUGUAGUUCCUAAAAUAAUAUUAAUUUUA